AUCCAGCUGACGAGUCGCAGAUACGACGAAAUGUUCAUGCCCUGGAU
rnacentral:hammerhead_ribozyme from 1 species